GUAAAAAGAUUACAGUGCAUAUUCUUAAAUUGGAAGGAUACAGAGAUGAUUAGCAUGGCCCCUGUGUAUGGAUGACCUGCAAAUUCAUGAAGUGUUCCAUAUUUUU
ensembl:snRNA U6 U6 spliceosomal RNA